GGAAAACAGCCACAGAGCCACAUCCAGGGAGUGACGACCUCGGGUUUGAUCUCAACCUAAUCACUCAAGGAAGCGACGUGUCAUUCUUUAAAAAUACUCCCCUGAUUAUGGUGGGACGGCUGUGUGAGUGUUCGAGUGGAGUGGGGAAAGGUGAUCUUCAAGGAGGAAUAUCACCUUUGUGAAGGGAGUCUGCUUGGAGUAGCUUGCUGGGAGUCUUAGAUGUUUUCGAUCAACUUGACCACCAUUGUAGAAGACAGCAAGCACAAAUGAUCCCACUUGAAUACUUUUCUGGAAAAUUCUGGAGCCCCAAAGAAAAUUCUCCCAUGGUUUCUGCCUCCUCAGAAAGCUUUGCUUGGAUCUGGCCCCGAAGUCAACUUUGAUGUUCAUCUUGUAGGCCUUCAUCGUCCCUUGCUCCCUGAAUCCGCCUCAUGAAAGAGAUGCUCCCAGGAGACUGGCUCUGGCAGCCACUGGGAGCUACACGGUGGCUGGAGAUUGUGUCUGCCUUAUUGCUCCUUGUUGAUUAUUGCUGGCCACACCAAGAAAACACAUCACAUCACAGGAGUGGCAGCGAACCACACAGGCACACACAUCGUAGAAGAUGGAAAGCUGAGCCUUUCGGUGUGACCAACAUAUACUAGAGCGAGAAGCUACAGGGCACUGGAAAGAAACAAAGCCAGGAAGCACCGUGAUGACGUUCCAAGAAAAAGGCAUUUAUCAUUUACAGUCUGAAGAGAUGCUUCUCCGGAAGCUGUGGCUCUUGUAUGAUCUGGUGGUUGCAGUUCAAGGUCGCAGUAUCAGAGAGCCAAAGGGAUCUGUUUCAAGAGUUAAUAUUUGUCGUGACCGGCUCUGCAAUUGCAUGAAUAUUAAAUAUGUAGAAAUAAUCGUAAGCACGUUA